UACGUAGGGGGCAAGCGUUGUCCGGAUUUAUUGAGCGUAAAGAGCGUGUAGGCGGUCAGAUAGGCCCGUUGUGAAAACUCGAGGCUCAACCUCGAGACGCCGAUGGAAACCAUCUGACUAGAGUCCGGAAGAGGAGAGUGGAAUUCCUGGUGUAGCGGUGAAAUGCGCAGAUAUCAGGAGGAACACCGGUGGCGAAGGCGGGUCUCGUGGGCAGUAACUGACGCUGAGGAGCGAAAGCGUGGGGAGCGAACAGG
rnacentral:rRNA from 1 species